UACGUAGGGCGCAAGCGUUAUCCGGAAUUAUUGGGCGUAAAGAGCUUGUAGGCGGUUUGUCGCGUCUGCCGUGAAAAUCCGGGGCUCAACCCCGGACUUGCGGUGGGUACGGGCAGACUAGAGUGUGGUAGGGGAGACUGGAAUUCCUGGUGUAGCGGUGAAAUGCGCAGAUAUCAGGAGGAACACCGGUGGCGAAGGCGGGUCUCUGGGCCGAUAUCGACGCUGAGGAGCGAAAGCGUGGGGAGCGAACAGG
rnacentral:rRNA from 1 species